CCUGUUGUAAGGUUUAAAUAAUUCCACUUAUAAUGUAAUAUUGCUCUGUGUUUAUGUGUCACAUUGCUAAAGUUUUUAUAAAGAAUAUAAUUGGUUAAAGGUGUCCAGGCUACUGUGCCCUGCAAGGAUUUCCUCAUUUUCAUGUUUAAAAUGACGUGAUAGCAUGGGUGAUCAGUUUUUUCUUACUAAAUGCACAUUGUAGCAAUGGCCUAUCCAUCCACAUAGUAGCAGCUACUAAAAGUGCAUUAGGCACAAAGCAGUAUUCUGAAUGAUUGCACUUACAGUCUGAGUAACAUAUGAAAGAUGAUUGGUGUGCUUACAGUUACAGUGUAAAGCUGUGAGACUAUCAGCACUUCAUACUUAUUGAUUUUGAAAUGCUGUACUUGAUACCACUCAAUUAAAGGCUUUUUUAAUGAAAAGAAGUGUAUUUUCUAUGCACUGUAGGAAUUUCAAAGAAACUGGAGAUCAGCUGGAUGAAAAACUGAAAAACGCUAGAAGUGGAAGAGAAGCAUAAAGAACCAUAUAUACUGGACCGCAGCUUCCUCAACCACUGGGCCAGAGAGAGUGGCAGAGUGGACCUCGAUCCUCAACCAUGUCCUAGACAUUCAUACACAUGAUGAUGAUGAUCCUCUUUUCCCCAGUGUCAACAUCCACUGUGCCAGAAAAGGGAAAAAACUAGAUGACUUUCAGCAGCAUCUCAUGCCUUCGACAAGCUGGAGAAGGUGCUGACAGACAAAAGGACUCUGAAGGAUGUCGCAAAACUGAGCCCCCACCAUCAGACUUCACCUGUAAAGGCUUUCCACAGCGUCCUCCUUUGUUUUGCCCUGAAGAAUGUUGUCUUCCCAUCUCUUGGAAUGCUAUGCAGGUAGAGUCUCUACCUGGCUGCUAUGUACUACAAUGAAAAUGCUGACCAACCGCAAGCCCAAACAAAAUAUGAACCACUGUUCAAGGUCCACUUUCCAAAGGCCAUGAAGGGAGAAUGCACAGCUAAACUAGUUAAGAAUGAGCCGACAUUCUAUAAGUGUUAUUUUAUUUUUUAACCAAAAAAUGUUUUGUACACAUUGUAUUAAGUAUUGCACGUACAUGUUAUAAUAGUUCCACCAACAACAAAAUACAUUAAAGAAAAUGUCAGGAGGUAGUCAGAAACAGACUUUCAGUCAUUGUUUUGUAAACAAACAACAAAAAAAUAAAAAAUGUAAACAAAAUCUUUUGUUUUAUCAAACAGGGUAUGUGGGUAGGUGGACCUCAUAUUUGAAAAAAGUCUUUGUUGUGCCGGCACCAUACACAGAAGCUGUUUUGGCCAUCCCAGAGGACCUCACUGCACAGUCAAGCGGGCUGAGGAGGAGGAGAUCAUAUCCAGCUAUGUGUCCCACUUUUGUCAUUAGAUUAGAUUAGAUUAGAUUAGAUUAGAUUAACUUUAUUUAUCCCACAACUGCAAAUGUCUCAUCUCACUGUGCUGCAGAACAGAGAGGUUCAGGAGAUCCUCUGUUCCCACUGCCAUCAGGCUGCAGAACACGGCUGUCUAUCUAUCAGAACAUUUAUUUGGUCAUUUUCUGCUUUGUAAUUUAACUAGAUGAAGGAUUUUAGCCCUCAGACAUCUGGAUUUUCAGUUAUCAGAAAAACAAGCUGAGUAAAUGUUAGACAGCUCAGCUCCCACCUGAUUUUUAACACGAAACUGCUUUUUUCUCUGAUCACUCAGUAUCUCAGUAAUUGGUCCUGUCUUCAUCAUCUUGUGUGGACUGAUGAUGCUUCUGUCAACACUGUUACUCAAGGAUGUGCAACAGAUUGUGGUCGAACACAUGUGACAAAAUAGUUAUGGGACAUUGCGUUGACUUUUCACACCUUGAUUUUAGUGAAACACCCAGAUGAUCACUCAGAAUCAUUAUCUUGCUGGCUGUUAGUGCUGACCUUGUCUUCUAUGGUCAAAGUCACUGACAAAAAUAUCACCUGGAGGAUUACAGAGCCACUGCUGCUGAAAGAAAUCAUAUGCUGCCAUUAGUGAGGAGGUAUUAUGACAGUGCAGCAGAGGUUAAUUAAGCAGGUAAUAUAAGACCGGAUCAAACUUUAAUGAU